UUGUUAAUGCUACUGCCUGGUGCAUAUUGCAUCCUGGCAAAGGUCACAAGUCCUUAAAAGCAGAGUGGCAA
rnacentral:ribozyme from 2 species